CAAUAGCGUAUAUUAAAGUUGUUGCAGUUAAAAAGCUCGUAGUUGGAUUUCUGGUGGGAGCGAUCGGUCUGGCGCUUAGCGCGAGUACUUGCAUCGUCUCCGGCCAUCCUUGGGGAGAGUCUGUCUGGCAUUAAGUUGUCGGGCAGAGGAUCCUCAUCGUUUACUGUGAAAAAAUUAGAGUGUUCAAAGCAGGCUUAUGCCGUUGAAUAUAUUAGCAUGGAAUAAUAAGAUAGGACUUUGGUACUAUUUUGUUGGUUUGCGCACCAAAGUAAUGAUUAAUAGGGACAUUUGGGGGUAUUCGUAUUCCGUUGUCAGAGGUGAAAUUCUUGGAUUUACGGAAGACGAACUACUGCGAAAGCAUUUACCAAGGAUGUUUUCAUUAA
rnacentral:rRNA from 1 species